AUGCUCAAGAAGAACUUGCAUUGAACAUGAAAGGGAAACAGCUAUUUGGGAGAUGAACAUUUCAGAUUUUUCUCAGAGUUCAUUUUGUUAACCAUAGAAAAAUCUGUUUCUGGGUUAAUCAAAGAGACAGCAACAAGGAAGGAAGCCAGGAUAUAACACAAGCCGAAAGGAUCCCUGACCUCCAGCUGAAAAGAGCUGAAAAUAUUUCAUCUUUCUGUGAGAGGUGGUUGCAAGAUUUAACCACACACAGUAAUGAGCUAUUCAAAGUUUAGACAGAUAAAUUACAUUAUUUGAAAUUUUUUCCUACAAAGAUGAGUUUGACUAUGAAGGAAAUGUUUGAAGAAGAAGAAGCAGAGUUAACAGACAAAGGAUGCUAGAGUAGAGGCUGCCAGCAGAAAGUGUGAAUCAGAUUUAAGAUGGAUCUUCCCACCUCUAGUGAAAGACAGAUCUGGAUUAAUACUGUAUUUACACACCACGAAUAUCUGGAUUUGAAAGAAAAAAACAUACAAUCUUGGGGUUCACUCUGUGUUCAAAUAUCCUACAACAAAAUAAAAAACCAAAACCAGCAAAUGCAUAAGAAAAGAAGCAAUGCGGCACAAGUCCCUUCCGGUCCACUGCAGCUCCAGGGUUCCUGGCCCGGGGAGUCUCCGGACACCUGAAAGGAACCACACAGGAUCCCCUACAGGACCCCAAGACCUCUGGUGAGUGAAACACAACUUCGCCAGGAGGCAAGUUUGAACACCAGAUAUUUGGGCACCUUCCCUGCAAGAGGAUGCUCCAACAUGUAAUAAGGACACAUGCUCCACUUUGUUCAUAGCAUCCUUAUUUAUAAUAGCCAGAAGCUGGAAAAAAAAAAACAGAUGUCUCUCAAUUGAGGAAUGCCUACAGGAAAUGUGGAACAUUUAGGUAAUGGAGUAAUAUGCAGCUAUUAAAAACAAAGAAUUCAUGAAAUUCUUAGGUAAAUGGAUGGAUCUUCAGGAUAUCAUACUGAGUGAGUUAACCAAUCACACACACACACAAAAACACAUAUGAUAUGCACUCACUGACAAGUGCAUAUUAGCUCAGAAACUCAAAUACCCAAGAUACAAUUGACAAACCACAUGAAACUCAAGAAGAAAGAAGAACAAAGUGUGGAUACUUCUAUCCAUCCUGGAAGGGAUAACAAAAUAUCAAUGGAAGGAAUUACAGAAACAGUGUGGAGCAGAGACUGAAGGAAUGACCAUCCAGAGACUGCCCCACCUGGGGAUCCAUCCAAUAUACAAUCACCAAUCCCAGACUCUAUUGCGGAUGCCAACAAGUGCUCUCUGACAGGAGCUAGAUAUAGUUGUCUCCUGAGAGGCUCUGCCAGUGCCUGACAAAUACAGAAGUAGAUACUCACAGCCAUCAAUUGGACUGAGCAUAGGGUCCCCAAUGAAUGAGCUAGUGAGAGUACCCAAGGAGCUAAAAGUGUUUGCAUCCCCGUAAGAGGAACAACAUUUUUAACUAACCAGAGUGAUUAUGGUGAGUUGAUAAAGCAUAUUUGAAAGAUGUGGGCACUUGGGCAACAGUAUGAAAAAUAGACAAAAAUCAGAGAGGCUAUGAGGGUGCCUAGGAGUACACACAACCAUUGGCUUUCAUUCACAGAUACCCCAUCUGUGGAGAGGAUGAUGAGGUGUCUAACUUAGAAAAAAGGCCAGACACUGGAAAGAAGUUCCAAAACAUAAUUAUUGCAUGCAGAGUUAUGGAUCCAUUUGAUACAAUCAUAUAAAUAGAACAUUCUGUUGAAAUAGUUAAGUACCUCCAGGAGGAACUAAAAUGAUAAUAUGCUCAAAUUGGAAUUAUCGUUAUUUGUAUUUUCUUGUUGAUUCAUGAUUAAAUUAAAAGAAUUUC
ensembl:lincRNA